UACGGAGGGUGCGAGCGUUGUCCGGAAUCACUGGGCGUAAAGGGCGCGUAGGCGGCGCGGGCAGUCAACGGUGAAAGCUCGGGGCUCAACUCCGAGUCGGCCGUCGAUACUCCCGUGCUCGAGCACUGUAGAGGGAGGUGGAAUUCCGGGUGUAGCGGUGGAAUGCGUAGAGAUCCGGAAGAACACCAGUGGCGAAGGCGGCCUGCUGGGCAGUAGCUGACGCUGAGGCGCGACAGCGUGGGGAGCAAACAGG
rnacentral:rRNA from 1 species